UGGGGAAUAUUGGACAAUGGGGGGAACCCUGAUCCAGCCAUGCCGCGUGUGUGAAGAAGGCCUUAUGGUUGUAAAGCACUUUAAGCGAGGAGGAGGGUACUGGUAUUAAUACUACCAGCUACCGGACGUUACUCGCAGAAUAAGCACCGGCUAACUCUGUGCCAGCAGCCGCGGUAAUACAGAGGGUGCGAGCGUUAAUCGGAUUUACUGGGCGUAAAGCGUGCGUAGGCGGCUAAUUGAGUCGGAUGUGAAAUCCCCGAGCUUAACUUGGGAAUUGCAUUCGGUACUGGUUAGCUAGAGUGUGGGAGAGGAUGGUAGAAUUCCAGGUGUAGCGGUGAAAUGCGUAGAGAUCUGGAGGAAUACCGAUGGCGAAGGCAGCCAUCUGGACUAACACUGACGCUGAGGUACGAAAGCAUGGGGAGCAAACAGG
rnacentral:rRNA from 1 species